rnacentral:rRNA from 1 species
GACGAACGCUGGCGGCGUGGAUUAGGCAUGCAAGUCGAACGGUAUGGACCUUUCGGGGUUCAGAGAGUGGCGAACGGGUGAGUAACACGUAGGUAAUCUGCCUUUCAGACGGGGAUAACUCAGGGAAACUUGUGCUAAUACCCGAUGAGACUACGGGAGGGGACUUCUGUAGCCAAAGGUGGGGGCAACCUCGCGCUGAAAGAUGAGUCUGCGUCCUAUCAGCUAGUUGGUGGGGUAAAAGCCUACCAAGGCGACGAUGCGUAGCCGGACUGAGAGGUUGAACGGCCACAUUGGGACUGAGACACGGCCCAAACUCCUACGGGAGACAGCAGUUAGGAAUAUUCGGCAAUGGGGGAAACCCUGACCGAGCAAUGCCGCGUGUGCGAUGAAGGUCCUUUGGAUUGUAAAGACACUUUUAUUAAGGUAAGAACUAUGUAUAUAGGAAAUAGAUAUAUAUUUGACGGUACUUAUUGAAUAAGACCCGGCCAAACUAACGUGCCAGCAGCCGCGGUAACUAGUAGUCGU